rnacentral:misc_RNA from 1 species
AUCCAGGCUUGGGACCGGCUAAGUUCAAUCCCUAUGAUGUUUAUUUUCAUGGCUUGAAUCUCAAACUUCCACAAUUUUCUCUUUCAAUUUUGUUAAAUUAGGUAAUAUUUUUCUUGUCAAUUUUGAUAAAUCUUGUUGGGUUAUAGAUUUUGAAGCAAACAAACAUAUGACCGGCUCCUCAAAUAAAUUUUCUACCUAUUUCUCAUGCUCAGAAACAGAAAAAGGCCUUAUAGCGAGUGAUUCCUUUACCACAAUUUCUGGUAC